rnacentral:rRNA from 1 species
GACGAACCGUGCGAACGUUGUUCGGAAUCACUGGGCUUAAAGGGCGCGUAGGCGGGUGCUCAAGUCUGUGGUGAAAUCCUCCGGCUCAACCGGAGAACGGCCAUGGAUACUGGGUGCCUCGAGGGUGAUAGGGGUAUGCGGAACUAUCGGUGGAGCGGUGAAAUGCGUUGAUAUCGAUAGGAACUCCGGUGGCGAAGGCGGCAUACUGGAUCACUUCUGACGCUGAGGCGCGAAAGCCAGGGGAGCGAACGGG